GGUGUCCCACACUGAUGAGCAAUCCCAGUUCAGUGUGAUUUGAACUUCAGCUCACUGUGAAGUUUAAGCCAGCGGGUAAACUCACUCCUCAACUUCAGCACUACUGCAAAGCAGCCUUCUGUUAGAGCAGUCACACAAGAGCUAAUUCAUUUCACCCAGAACACCAAGUAACCUGCAAGUGGAGAUGACAGACCUCAAGAAAGCUCCUGAGCCCAGCAGAGAAGCAGUGAAGUAGCCGGCUGCUGCAGAAGGACCCCAGCAGCACCUCAGCUGACCUGCAGCACAUCACUCACUCAGGACAAGGACAACCAGGAGGUGUUGAAGAAACAGACCAGGUGCUUCUGUUGAGAUGUUGGAGAUCAGAGAUGGAGAUCCAACAGUCUUCACUUUGGCUGACGUCCUGGUCCAUCCCUGUGGCCCAUGGUGCAGUGCUGCAUCUCUGGUCAGUUGGUAGUCUGAGAUGAAGCACUGUAGCUCGGGACACAGGACACAAAUACCCAUCUGGGGACAGCCAGGGGACAACGUCCAGGGCUGCUUCACACAGGCAGUGUGAGUUGAAACAGGAAGUCACAGGACAGGAGGACACUGUCAGAGAAACACUAUGAUGUAUGUCAAUAAAGUUUGCUCAUUUUUCAAUUCAGAGGGAAAUUGCUUCUGUGUAACAUUUUUUGAAAAAAAACAUAGGAGAAAAAAUAAAAUAAAAGUAGUCACAAAAUGAGG